GAGACUUGCUAAGCAUUUGGCUUCGUCUCCGAUUUUGUUUUGUGAAAGUGAAUAGUUUUAUCAGUUUGUAAUUUGCUUUAGUCAUUUGGAUUUGAGUGAGAGUAGAGAAGAGGAGAAAGAUAUAAGGUUGUGUUUGUAAUGGAUGUUUGAGAAUUUCAAAUGUAGAAAUUUAGCAGAUUAUUUAUGAUUUUAUCAUUGAUCAAGACUCAUUUUUGUCCAUGAUGCAAUACUUGCUCAUAUUUUUUUAGUUUUGAUUAUAUUAAAACAAUAUUUAAAUAAAUUUCAGUGUUAUUUAAUAAAUCUAAUAGUUUAAAAAAAAAAUUAAAAAAUUUAUAAACAAAAACUAUUAGUAUAUAAACCAACAUUAACUCGUAAUACCAAAUAAUUAACCAACUUAAGUGUAUAUAUAAUUAAAUUCCUUGCAGACUUUGAGAUUUUUUUAAAAAAUAUUGCCCCGUUUAACAUAGGUUUAUAAGGCAGAAAAAUGUCGAAGUCAUGAAAUUGUUGUUAAACCUUAAAAUUUGCAAAUUUAUAUAUUCACCUAAGAAUAC
rnacentral:lncRNA from 1 species